AGCAGCCGCGGUAAUUCCAGCUCCAAUAGCGUAUAUUAAAGUUGUUGCAGUUAAAAAGCUCGUAGUUGAAUUUCGGGGUUAGUAGGUUGGUCAUGCCUCUGGUAUGUACUGGUCUCACUGAUUCCUCCUUCCUGAUGAGCCUUAAUGCCAUUAAUUUGGUGUUUUGGGGAAUUUGGACUGUUACUUUGAAAAAAAUUAGAGUGUUUAAAGCAAGCUAACGCUUGAAUACAUUAGCAUGGAAUAAUGAAAUAGGACGUUCGAUCCUAUUUUGUUGGUUUCUAGGAUUGACGUAAUGAUUAAUAGGGAUAGUUGGGGGGCAUUAGUAUUCAAUUGUCAGAGGUGAAAUUCUUGGAUUUAUUGAAGACUAACUACUGCGAAAGCAUUUGCCAAGGAUGUUUUCAUUAAUCAAGAACGAAAGUUAGGGGAUCGAAAACGAUCAGAUACCGUCGUAGUCUUAACCAUAAACUAUGCCGACUAGGGAUCGGAUGAUGUAAUUUUUAAUGACUCAUUCGGCGCCUUA
rnacentral:rRNA from 1 species